GACGAACGCUGGCGGCGUGCCUAAUACAUGCAAGUCGAACGCAGUGGGGACGGGUGAGUAACCCGUUGGUAACCUCCCAUCAGAGGGGAUAACCCUUGGAAACAGGUGCUAAACCGAUACUGAUGGAUGGACCCGCGGUGCAUUAGCUAGGUGGUGGGGUAAAGGCUAACAAAGGCAACGAUCCGUAGCGGGUUGGAGAGGACGACCAGCCACACUGGGACUGAGACACGGCCCAGACUCCUAAGGGAGGCAGCAGUGGGGAAUAUUGGACAAUGGGCGAAACCCUGAUCAAGCCAUCCCGCGUGUAUGAAGAAGGCCUUCGGGUUGUAAAGUACUGUUGGUAGAGAAGCGGUAUCUGCAGAAUAAGCACCGGCUAACUACGUGCCAGCAGCCGCGGUAAUAC
rnacentral:rRNA from 1 species